rnacentral:rRNA from 1 species
CCUACGGGAGGCAGCAGUGGGGAAUCUUGCGCAAUGGGCGAAAGCCUGACGCAGCAACGCCGCGUGCGGGAAGAAGGCUUUCGGGCUGUAAACCGCUUUCAGCAGGAACGAAAAUGACGGUACCUGCAGAAGAAGGAGCGGCCAACUAUGUGCCAGCAGCCGCGGUGAUACAUAGGCUUCAAGCGUUGUCCGGAUUUAUUGGGCGUAAAGAGUUCGUAGGCGGUCGAGUAAGUCGGGUGUGAAAAUUCUGGGCUCAACCCAGAGACGCCACCCGAUACUGCUUGACUUGAGUUCGAUAGGGGAGUGGGGAAUUCCUAGUGUAGCGGUGAAAUGCGCAGAUAUUAGGAGGAACACCGGUGGCGAAGGCGCCACUCUGGAUCGAUACUGACGCUGAGGAACGAAAGCAUGGGUAGCAAACAGGAUUAGAUACCCUGGUAGUCCAUGCCGUAAACGGUGGGCACUAGGUGUGGGUUUCUAUUAACGAAAUCCGCGCCGUCGCUAACGCAUUAAGUGCCCCGCCUGGGGAGGUACGGUCGCGAGACGUAAACUACGAAGAAGUAAGUAGCGUUGAGAGUUGCGACGGCGACGACGAGGGAGGAGG